UACAGAGGUCUCGAGCGUUAGGCGGAAUCACUGGGCUUAAAGCGUGUGUAGGCGGAUCGUUAAGUGCCUUGUGAAAUCCCACGGCUCAACCGUGGAACUGCUUGGCAUACUGGCGGUCUUGAGCAACCUAGGGGCGAGCGGAACAAAUGGUGGAGCGGUGAAAUGCGUAGAUAUCAUUUGGAACGCCAAUGGUGAAAACAGCUCGCUGGGGGUUUGCUGACGCUGAGGCGCGAAAGCGUGGGGAGCAAACAGG
rnacentral:rRNA from 1 species